UGGAAGCAGAGAAAGACACAUGGUCCUAAAAUAACCUCAUUCUGCAUGUGGUCCAAGAGGCGCACACGAGAAAUCAAAAGCUGGACGGUAGAAGUGAAAUGAAUGAUUGGAGAAUGGCUUACCGGGUAUUUUAGUGGAAGGAGGGAUACAGAAAAAAUCUGCAAAAUUUCUGCAAGGAGCCUGCAGAAGAUGAUCACUGGCUCCAUAAGGCAUUCACAGUAGAACAAAGAAGCACAAUGGAAUCAACAAAAAAUUGCACACAAAAACUGACAACCAACUAGCUUGCAGAAGAAGACUAACAAUGCAAAUGCUAAAUAACUAAAUAAUACGAAACUGGCAUCAAAAUAACAAAGCUAAUUAAAUACAAACACGAGAGAAUCUGCAGAUGCUAGAAA